UAUACAUUAUUUAUUUGUAGAUAAAUAAAUAUAUAUUUAGAUAGGUAGGUAGGUUACACUAGAUUUGAUGUUGGCCUCUGUAAAAUGAUUCCUGGCCAGCGCCGUGGCUCAAUAGGCUAAUCCUCCGCCUGCGGCACUGACACCCCGGGUUCUAGUCCCGGUUGGGGCGCCAGAUUCUGUCCCGGUUGCCCCUCUUCCAGGCCAGCUCUCUGCUGUGGCCCGGGAGUGCAGUGGAGGAUGGCCCAAGUGCUUGGGCCCUGCACCCCAUGGGAGACCAGGAUAAGCACCUGCCUCCUGGCUUCGGAUCAGCGCGGUGCACCGGCCGCAGCGGCCAUUGGAGGGUGAACCAACGGAAAAGGAAGACCUUUCUCUCUGUCUCUCUCUCUCACUGUCCACUCUGCCUGUCAAAAAAAAAAAAAAAAAAAAAAAAAAGAUUCCUACAAAAAGGUCAGAAAUCAGAAGCGGAAAAGCUCUGACCCGCGGUGGAGCGCAGUUUCUCUACUGGCCGGCAGGGGGCGGUGUAGGUGCCCUCUCCUGCUUACCGCGGGAUCCCUGACGCUCACAGCCGGGCGGCACGGGCUGCCCUCCCUCCGUGGCCCCUGCGCUGGAGCCGGCCUCGGCUCUAACAAAGACAGCGCCUGCAGCCGCUGCUGGCUCCCUGGCCAGCGUCCUGUGCCCGGGGUUCGGGCUGAGUUCUCUAUUUAAGGGUCUGCAAACGCCGAGCCUGUCUGCGGCCUGGGAAUUUUGUCACCGACGGGCCGCGCUGUGAACCCUGUGGAUCCAGUCCUGGGAUCCAGCCCAGCUGUAAGCAAUGCCCUGACGAACUCCGUGGCUGGUUGAGGCCGGCAGGAAGUGAGGCGCCGGUGGCACGCUGGGCCUGAGCGAGAGCCCAAGUCUUGUUUCCCACUUGCCGCGCAUCUGGGGCCUCACGGGCAGCUCCGUCCCUGCGCCCGCCCGGGAGGCCGAGGGCCACCGUCCACUUCCGCUGGCCUCCUCCCCCGGCGGCCCUAGCCACCAGUACGGGGAGCCCCGAGCCCCGGGCGCAGGUAGGAGAGGCUGCAGCGGCCGGGGCGCCGCUGACAGCUGCGCCGGGAGGUGGGGUGCUGGGGUGGGGCCCCUGCUCGGCCUGCCAGGAGCAGGGAGGCCUGCGGCAGUCCCAGCCUUAGCCACGGCCCAUUGUCCAGGCAGGCCCGCAGAAACCAAAGGUUGCCCAGGGGCGGCGCCCGGGGCCGAGGAGCGAGGACGGGGGCGUGGCUCCCGGCUUGGGCGGAGGGCUGCGCUCAGCGGGCCGCCGUCUGGCCUCGGGCUCUGGGUGGCCAUCCUGCAGGUGGGCUCGCAGUUCUGCGGGCAGUGACGCGUGCGGGCUGGGUCAACUACCGGUCACCCCCACACGCCUGGAGCCCGGCCCGUGCUCACGCCCCUUCCUGCGCCAGGCCCAGUUCCCUGUCUCCACGUCUGGCUGGUGUCCCACGUCUGUGCUGAUCGAUCCGAGCGCAUGUCCCCUAUGCCCACUCCCAUUGCCUUGUGCUGAUCUCGUGCCCAGCACCCUGCAGGGCGCCCCUGCGCCCACACGGGUACCCAGGUCCCGGGCUUCUGCCCCGCCUUUCUGUGCCCACCCCCGCCUGCCGACCUCCGGAGCUGUGCCCGACCUCUGGGGGCCCACAUUGUUUCCCACUCCCCGUGCUUCCGGGCCAUGUCCUUUGUUUCGAUGCCCACCCCAUACCCAGCACCUUCGAGCUCAUUCCCCUGCGCCCGCGGCGCCCGCCACCGCACGGCCGCGCCCUCCCCGCUGGGACAGCAGCGCGGGCCGGGCAGUUGGCGGGCCGCACGCGCGCUCCAGCUCGUUGCGCUGCGCUCCGUGCAGGACAAGCGGGCCGCGCCAGUACACGCUGCCUUGGCACAGGCGCGUGGCGAACGGACCCUCGGGCGCCACCCACGGCAGCACCCCGCACUUCAGGUGCGGCCACAGGUGCCGUGGCAGGUGCGCACGGAACAGCGGCUGCCAAAGCGGACCUACGCAGCGCGUGGUGGCGGCCCCAGCGGACUCAGAAGGCAGCGCUCGGCGGAGCCGCAAGGGCAGCCAGCCAUCUGCGGGGCGAGGAAGGAGGGCGGCCACCUUGGCGAGGUUUCCCUUCCUCACCCCCUCCACCACGGGUCAGGCGACCCACAGGUCCUCCUCGCCCUCCCCAUCAGUGAUGGCAGUGACUCUUGUAGUAGCAAUAGUAGUAGUAGCAACAGCAGCAGCACUACAUAACAGCUUCCAACAUAAACCACCCGUGGUCCAGCGCGGUAACCACAAGCAGCCUCACCGGCCCUGGAGAGCACUCCCAAGGAUGCCUCCCAUACACGAAGCCCUCUGCCAAGGUGGCUCUGUGUGCGUGUAAUGGGUGCCCACCAUGCAGUCUAUCAGCAUCUAGAAGCAACAGAUUAGAUCUGCAGAGAACAAGAACAGAUCCUCGGAGCGCCGUCACGACUGAAAGAAAAGUGAGUCCACAGAGCGAGGUCCGUCCUCAGCAUGAGGUGAUGUGCAUGAGUGGCUGCGCCCCAUCGAGUCUCCACAAACGCGGAGCUGGUGAACACGGAGCCGCGGCGCCCAGGAGCAAGGCUCGGCUGAGGGCUUUCAAGCUCAGUCUCCGUGAACGCCUGGCUACCCUCACUGUGACCUACACCUAACUUCCCUAACGUGGAUUUUCUCGGUCCUGUGUUGGUGUCACCACCCUCCAGCAGCUCAUGUCUGCAGGAGACAGACUCGUACCCAGCACGGAGAAUGUACAGAGAAAGAUGUUCCAACGGGGGAAGCAGGAGUCAGGGACGGCUUGGGAGAAGCACCGAGUUGAAGCUUAAUAAAUGCUUUCGACCAAUGAA